AAAGAAAUGGUGGCUCUUGGAGCAAUGAAUGUUGCUGGCUCAAUGACGUCUUGCUACGUCGCUACAGGUAUAAAACAUAAAUCAAGCUCAUUUCAUUAAAAAUUGAAGGCAUAUAGAGAUGAUGUUCAUUUUGCAGGUUCCUUCUCACGCUCUGCUGUGAACUACAUGGCCGGCUGCCAAACGGCCGUUUCAAACAUCGUGAUGUCCGUUGUCGUGUUCCUGACGCUGCAGUUCAUGACCCCUCUCUUCGAGCACACCCCAAACGCGAUCCUCUCCUCCAUCAUCAUCUCAGCUGUCAUCGGCCUGAUUGACUACGAGGCAGCACUUCUCAUAUGGAAGAUUGACAAGUUCGAUUUCAUCGCCUGCAUGGGAGCCUUCUUCGGUGUGGUUUUCGCCUCCGUUGAGAUUGGCCUCUUGAUUGCUGUAAGGAUUCAAAACACCUUGCCAUUUCAUCAUAUAUUAGUAUACAAAUGAUAGUAUUAUUUUGGUUUCAUGGCAGGUCUCAAUAUCAUUUGCUAAAUUACUAUUACAAGUAACAAGGCCUAGAACAGCCAUUCUUGGAAAAAUUCCAAGAACAAAUGUUUAUAGAAAUAUUCAACAAUAUCCAGAGGCAAGCAAGGUUCCAGGAGUUCUGAUUGUAAGAGUGGAUUCUGCCAUUUGUUUCUCAAAUUCUAACUACAUUAAAGAAAGGUAAACUUCUAUAUAUUUCCCAUUAGCAUUUAACAUAAUCAAGAAAAAGAAUUGAUUUUUUUGCUUGAAUUGUAUGCUACUGCAGGAUACUGAGGUGGCUAACCGCGGAGGAAGAGCAACUGCAAGCUACUGGCCUUCCCAAAAUACAGUUUCUUAUCAUUGAAAUGUCACGUAUGUUUUUGUGUGCGUGUGUUUUUACAUAUACAUUGCACUCAACGCAUCAAGACACCAUAUUUGCCCUGAAAUUAACAUGAAUGCAUUUUUAAGUGCAGCAAAUUUUACGGCGAAUGCAAUGAGUUUAUACAUUCAGUGCAAUGUUCUCGCAUUUGAACAUCUUCUUACAUACCUUUGCUCCAAAUAUGCUUUCAUUUUAACGUUGUUUGAUUCCUGCAGCCGUCACGGACAUCGACACGAGCGGCAUCCACGCGUUGGAGGAGCUGCUGAGGAGCCUGCAGAAGAGAGACGUUGAGGUAACCACCUUCACAAUGUAUACAAACAACCCCAAAAAAAAUGAAGUGUAAAACUUACCUUAAAUUUUUCCCAACAGCUGGUUCUGGCGAAUCCUGGGCCCGUCGUGAUCGACAAGGUGCACGCGUCGAAUCUUGCGAGUAUGAUCGGAGAAGACAAGAUUUUUCUUACAGUGGCAGAUGCCAUUCAAACAUGCUCACCAAAAUUUG
rnacentral:lncRNA from 1 species